GACGAACGCUGGCGGCAGGCCUAACACAUGCAAGUCGAACGAAGUCUUCGGACUUAGUGGCGGACGGGUGAGUAACACGUGGGAACGUACCUUUUGGUUCGGAACAACUCAGGGAAACUUGAGCUAAUACCGGAUGAGCCCUUAGGGGGAAAGAUUUAUCGCCGAAAGAGCGGCCCGCGUUAGAUUAGCUAGUUGGUGGGGUAAAGGCUCACCAAGGCUACGAUCUAUAGCUGGUCUGAGAGGAUGAUCAGCCACACUGGGACUGAGACACGGCCCAGACUCCUACGGGAGGCAGCAGUGGGGAAUCUUGCGCAAUGGGCGAAAGCCUGACGCAGCCAUGCCGCGUGAAUGAUGAAGGUCUUAGGAUUGUAAAAUUCUUUAACCAGGGACGAUAAUGACGGUACCUGGAGAAAAAGCCCCGGCUAACUUCGUGCCAGCAGCCGCCGUAAGAC
rnacentral:rRNA from 1 species